AGACUCUGUCUCAAGAAACACAACCGGGCUACAGAGAUAGCUCAGCCGGUCAAAGUGCUUGCCACACAGGCCUGACAACCUGAGUUUGCACCCUGGAGCACAUGGUGUCAGGAGAAAACUGAUUCCCAAAAGCUGCCCCAUGAUCUCCUCAUGAGUGUUGUGGAACAUGCACUCUUGCAUGUGCACACACUCAUGCUUGAGUAAGAGCACACACACACACACACAGGUGCACACACGCACACACACACCACUGAUGUUUGAAUUCUUUGGCUGACCAGAGUUAGACAGAUGACAUAAGCAGUCAGGAGGUGGCACACAGAACUGACCUGAGUCCAACUUGACGGCACACAUCCUCCUGCUGCAAAAAAAAUCACCCUACUCCUCACACUGUCUGUAGCAGCUGAGCGGGGCCCAGGUCUCCAGUACAGUGUGUGUACGUGACUUGAAAGUCCCUUCCUGCUCUAACCGUGGAGCCACAAGAGGCCCUUUCAGAACCAGCACAUUCCAAGCUCCUCAGUCAUUAACUCCUGCCUUGCGGUUGCACAGACGUUCCCCAUGCCUGACCUCACCAGCUCCCAGCUAGGGAGCUGGAGGAGAACCCGGGUUCUGCAGUGACUCCUGGGAAGUCACUGUCCCUGGGUUUCUGUGUGUGCUUGACUCAGUGGCUUCCCAUCUGUGAGCAGAGAAUUCCUACCUCUCGAGCUGCAGUGAGGCUGAAGGAAGCAACGGAUGAAAGUUUGCAAUCUGGAGUCCCAGUGGAGAUCUACAGGGUGAAGAUGAACACCGGGCUCUCCAUCCUGCUUCCACUCAUGCAGCUGGGAAGGUAGGAGAAGGCAACUAUGAAAUGGCGUGGAGGGCACCAGGGCUGUGGGAACAGCUCUGAGAAGAAACACACUGUAACUGGAGUGAAGGCUAGCCAGGGUGUGUCAGAUGUCCCUUCUCACCCCUUGUAUAGGCUCCAGAGAACAUGGCUGUCUUCCAUGGUCCCCAGCAGGCAGAUGUGGGGCCAAUGGUAGACGACCCACAAAAACCAAUUGGACUUCAUCCCAAGGAGGCCUCUACCCCUAGGAGCUAGAACUGCUCAGGGACAGGGGACAGAAUGCCCUGACACCCUAAAUGUAGAAGACAUAGGAAUUGUGCAGGCUGCCAGUGUGUCUAUAGCCUUGACUUUGUUUUGUUUUGAGACAGGAUCUCAUGUAGCCUAGGCUAGCCUGAAACUUGCUGUGUAACUGAGGUUGGACUUGAACUCCUAACUUUCUACCUCUACCUCUCAGAUGAUAAACAUGUACCACCAUGCCUGACUCAACUUUGACUAGCUUAGUUAGCAUCAAUAAAAGGAGUGCUGUGAGGGGUGGAGUGAGUUAAUGCUGGUAAGGUGCCCAGCGUGCACCCAUAAAGAGCAGGCCUGUAUACAUGUUUGCUCUUACGGUAAGUCUUGGUUGCCUCACGUAUAAAAUAGAUAAGACACCUGAAGUGUCCUGUUCAGCCUUCACUCUGGUUGCAACCUCUGGUCUCCUUUCCUGCCACCCUGCCUGCACAGCCUUCUGCCUAACCUCAGAGUUACUGUACCCUCCUAGGAGGCUAGAGAAAAAUGGGUAGGUUUCCCAGACAAGUGCCCUUAGCUUUACCCCUCAGUGCCUGGGGGAUGCACGUCACAGAAGUGGGGAGUUUCCCUCCUCAGUGAAUCAGCUGUGUGACCCAAUCUUCAUCCCUGCCAAGGCCCCUCCCAGUCAUCAGGAGUGGGGCGCAGCUGGCCUACUAGGAAAAUCCCCCAAAUCCUGCCAAAGCUUCGGUCGGGGCAUCUUCCUAUUCAGCUGUUUCCAGUACUCCUGGAUUCUCAUCAGGUCCCAGCUGGAGCUAGGGGUCAGAGUCUCCCCCUCCCAGAACACAUUCUUGUCUCCCUGGCCUCUGUCAUGCUUCUCUGUCUUAAGGGAGCAGACACAUCGGCUUGUGCACAACUGGGGCACUUCUGAACGCCCAUGUAAGCAGCAGCUGGCUAAGCAAGAGAAGCCGUGCUAGCCCAGGUUUGGGGAAGCUCUUAGCUUGUCAGGGGUGCCAGUUUCCACGUAGGUUGGAAUGACUCUUCCUUUUCAGACAGGCUGCUCUCCCAGGACCUAAUCCUUGGUCAGUAUUAAAGGAAUCUCUGCUUGGGCCCAGCCUGUCUCCCAAGUGACUUUGAGAACCUACCUUGUGUACUUCACAAGUCAAUCCUAUGUUCCUCCAGGACACUGUUUCUUUCUGCAGGACCCCUGUCCUCAACAGUACUUUGAUCAACAAGACUUAACCAUGGCUCAGAUGCCCUAGAGUUGAAUGAUCUGGGUUGAAAGCUUGGCUCUGCUGAUUGCUCUGUAACCUUGAGACAAUUAACUGGAAUUCUCUGGGUCUCUGUUUCCCCUUCUGCAAAAUGUAGUAACAACAGAGUUAGAGGCUGGAGAGAUGGCACACAGGAGUUAAGCACUGGCUACUCUUCCAGAAGACCCAGAUUGGAUUCCAAGC